rnacentral:rRNA from 1 species
GCUGGAAUUGCUGUAAUGGCAGGUCAGCAUACUGCCGUGAAUACGUUCCCGGGCCCUUGUACACACCGCCCGUCACACCAUGAGAGUUGGGAAUACCCGAAGCCUGUGAGCUAACUGUAAGGAGGCAGCAGUCGAAGGUAGAAUCAAUGAUUGGGGUGAAGUCGUAACAAGGUAGC